rfam:Felis catus breed Abyssinian Contig8107.1, whole genome shotgun sequence. [26-MAY-2016]
GUCUGGGUGGCUCAGUCGGUUGAGCGUCUGACUUCGGCUCAGGUCAUGAUCUCGCAGUCUGUGAGUUCGAGCCCCGCAUCAGGCU